rnacentral:rRNA from 1 species
AUGGCGGGGACUGCACGGGGAAGUAGCAGGGCGAGGGCAGGCGCGUACACGUGCGGCGCGGGGCAUGGUCGCCGCUGUGUGCGACAAGAGCGGCAAAGUGGGGCAGAGGCGGCAUGGGCGCAAAGCUGCAUGGGGACGCGAGGCAGCGGUGGACGCAAGCGGGCCGAGCAGGGGAGGCCACACGAGGGGGCGAUUAGCGAAGGCAGGCGGACUCGAGCGAUGUCGCGGUGGCAGGGCAUGGCGAGGUACAUGGGGGAGAAAGGAAAAGGGGUCCUCACCCUCGUUGAAGGCGUACGGGGCGGCGAGGCUCGUUAUGGCUGUCGGGGAUGGGCGCAGGCGGUAGCAAGGCAGCGAUGGUGGGGCAUUCCGAAUCGCGUGCCUCUCAUCCCUUCGCCGGGCGGCUCACUCCAUAUGCGACCGACCUGGGUGAUGACCGAUGCCGGGCUAGAGCAACGGAUCCAUGACGACCGCGCUGGUUCGGGAAGCGCCUCGCCGAGCGAUGGGGCACAGGGUCAGCUCGAUCUGUUUGGUUACACAACACGGCAGGAUGGAUUGUGGCGGCAACACAUGCAUCCGCCCUUUGAAGUACUAUUGCUAAUCCAAAGAUUGAUUGAGAGUUUAAUCAGCCAUUACUACCAGUCAAUGCGCAGACUGCUGGUUAUUGUAGGUCUCCAAUUCUCCCUCCUUCCUGCAUCUCCUCUCCCCCCAAUUCUCCCUUCAUCUUUGAAAUUUGUUUUGUUUACUGAUGCUGUUCUUCGUGCCCAUGAAAAAACUACAGUCUGUGCCAUCUUCAUGGCUGAGAACAUGAAAAACCGAGCACUCGAGCUACCUUUGAAGGAGAAGGCUCCGAGCGCGGUUAAGCCAAAAUGGCAAUAUCCAGGUGCAGGUUGGAUUAAGAUGAAUACAGAUGGAUUCACUGAUUCAGUGAACGGUCGUGGAGGUGCGAGGAUCAUUAUCCGGGAUGAUCAAGGGGCGUUCUUACGAGCGAAGUGUGCUAAGGGUUCGAGCUUCGAUACUCGGGUCGUCAGAUUAACUUGGCGGCCUACCGACUAG